rnacentral:rRNA from 1 species
AUUGAACGCUGGCGGCAGGCCUAACACAUGCAAGUCGAGCGGAUGAAGGGAGCUUGCUCCUGGAUUCAGCGGCGGACGGGUGAGUAAUGCCUAGGAAUCUGCCUGGUAGUGGGGGAUAACGUCCGGAAACGGGCGCUAAUACCGCAUACGUCCUGAGGGAGAAAGUGGGGGAUCUUCGGACCUCACGCUAUCAGAUGAGCCUAGGUCGGAUUAGCUAGUUGGUGGGGUAAAGGCCUACCAAGGCGACGAUCCGUAACUGGUCUGAGAGGAUGAUCAGUCACACUGGAACUGAGACACGGUCCAGACUCCUACGGGAGGCAGCAGUGGGGAAUAUUGGACAGUGGGCGAAAGCCUGAUCCAGCCGUGCCGCGUGUGUGAAGAAGGUCUUCGGAUUGUAAAGCACUUUAAGUUGGGAGGAAGGGCAGUAAGUUAAUACCUUGCUGUUUUGACGUUACCAACAGAAUAAGCACCGGCUAACUUCGUG